rnacentral:sRNA from 1 species
UGGUCCUGGAGGCUCACAGGACAGAGAAAGCAGUGGCUGGGCAUGGUGAGAAAAACCUCCAGGUCUGGAGUCAGUGGCCUGGACUGAGGAGGGUCUCCUUGCCUUCAGGGUCUGUAUCCAGAGCCCAGAUUAGCCGAGGCUUCCCAGGCUGCAGGGUGGUGGAAACCUGGAGACACUGGGCAGGCAGGCAGGCAAGCCAUCUUCUUACGAUGCCAAUGGAGGGCGUUGGCCUGUGUUAAGUGAUGUCCUUUCACUGGACAACCCGAUGUCACCUCACUUCUGUGACAGUGGAUUUCCAGCUCUGUCUCCUAGAGAUGUGACCCGUGCCAGCUGGGCUUAUGCCUCAAGCUGGCACUGGGGGGGGGGGGCUGCCAGUAGAGAGGACACCUAGAGGCACUUAACACACAUGGACAAAACGAAAAGGACAGCCUACCCUAUCCAACAGGAGUGGAUAUGCUUGGUCACACAUCUUCCACCUUAGAUCACAGCCCAGCCGAAACAGGAAGCAAGGGACCACAUAUCUCAGGGAUCUUAGGAAGUACCAUUCCUGCAACUGUUUUGCCUCCUUUUGUAGCCCAGCUCCUGGCUUGCAUGAGCUCAGAUGUCCCUAAUCAGUGGGCCCUUACCUCAGCUCCUCUGCCCUGAAGAGAGAGGUUGAGCCCGGGACAUAGCAUCAGACUUAGACAAGGAUCUAAAUCGACUUUGAAUUUCAGGAAAAAAAACUGGAGAAAACCAAGUUCCUGAGGUGUAGCACCGGGAAGCGUUGCUUGGAAAUACUAGUGAGAUGUCAGGAGACAGUAUUUUGGAAACAGGAAACUGGAUCUGUAAACAUUGUCAGUGAACAGGUAACCCCCCAGGGAGAGGAGGAGGCAGAGGAGUCUUUGCUGAGUCUCAGCUCUCGCUAGAAAAAUAGGAUCGACACACGGUGUUAGGGUUGGCUAAAUCAAGUCAGAGCUCAGAAAACAAAUGCUAGGGCAAUUCUCGUCAAUACGGCAAAUGGCAAAUGGAGAAAAAGAAUACUUAGUGCCGUUAGCAAUAGACAGAAGCUGGCGGCACCCAAGCAUCCAUCGUGGCUGAUAGGCAAAGGGAAGGCCCGGGCACACAAUGAAGACUUGCUCAUCCGUUCAAAGGCAAAGCAUUCUGGUAUACGCUACAGCGUGCAAGGACCUUGAAGACAUUGUGCUAAGCGAAACAAGCCAGCCGCAGGAAAGGUGCCAUCGAUUUCAUCCACAGGGUUCCUGCUGUCCUCAAACCACCGACACAGAAAGCAGAGAGGUGGCUGCAGGGGCCGGGAAAGUAGAGAGGUGGCUGCAGGGGCCGGGAAAGUAGAGAGAUGUCAACGUUUAAUGGGGGCGGAGCUUCAGUUUGGGGAGAUGGGGCAGUCUAGUAAUGGCAGUUAUUAUAUAGCCAUGUGAAGGAUUCUGCCACCCGGCUGGUCACCCGAAAGUGACUCAAAUGGUGGAUUUUGCCUCUAUAUGUGUUUUACCACUCAUGAAGAAUAAACUCGUAACAGCAGCCUGGCCUGGGUUAGGGUGGGAUGGGGGGCCAGCUGUGAGGCCAAGGGCCACCCUGCUCUUAGUCCACUGUGACUUGAGACCUGGGAAUUCUCUCGGGUUGGCAGGGGGAUGCAGUCUUACAUGCAUUCGCUGUACACUCUGGAAGCCUGGUGAUGUGUAACUAUUGCUCCCCUUAGAGCAGUGGUUCUUAACCUUCUUAGUGCUGCGACCCUUUGAUACCUCUCCUCACACUCUGAUGACCCCCACCACCACCAUAAAAUUACUUUUGUUGCUGCUUCAUAGCUGGCAUUUUGCUACUGUUAUGAAUCGUAAUGUAAGUAUUUCGGCGCUAGAGGUUGGCCAGAGGGGUUGAGACCCUCAGGUUGAGAACCACUGUCUUAGAACUCAUACCUGGGUGACUGCACCAGGAAGACAUAGUGUAGGAAACACUAGCUUCCCAGAACUUCCUAGGGAAGAAGCACCCUCUAGGGAAGGAACCCAUGGCCUGCUAGCCACCAGAGCCAGCAUGGGUGUGUCAAAGAACAGAGGCUGCACUGAUCUCAAGCCAAGGGCCAGCCAAGGCUUCCUCUUAGCCUCAGAGACAUCUUUGGAUAGAGCCUUGGGUUUGCUGGGAGGUAAGGAGCAGUGUCUCCCAGGCCAAUGUAAAAGAGACCUAAUACCCCUUGUCUCCUGAAAUGUCUUCCUGCUAGCAACAAGGACGAGCAGCUGGUUCCUUGUGUCUGAGGGCCCCAUGGACACUACAGAGUCAAGGACAGCCUCAGACCAAGACUUCGGCUCUACCCCGCUGUCCUGGGCCAAGUACCUCCCGAAUGCCACUGUAGAUUGUGGUGAUGGUGCUGUUCCUCCUCACAGGGGUCUCAGGACAGCUGCAUCCUGGGAUUGGAAGCCAGAGGUAGGUCUGUUUGGACUAUCCUGACCUGAACCCGUGGGAGGUAUCAUCCCUCUGCUCCACUGGGCCUAACCGGACCCAGUAAAACCCCGUCAUGAGCCCUGCAGCCACUGUGUGACCACCCUGCCCCCUAGUGGCAUGACCUACACCUCCCUGCACCGGCAAUCAUCCAGUUCCGUUGGGUUUUAUUAUCUCAACCAUGCAGCCUUGGUGCGCUUCCUGCCACCCUGGAGAGACAGAAAAACUGAGAUCGGAGGGUUCUUUGAAGUAUAACUCCCGUUCAGUGCUACCCAGCACGCGACCCCUCACUGCCUUCCAAAGACUUCGUGCAUCUCAGGAAUCCAGAGAGCCCAUCUGGUGACAGCGGACCCUCGGGUACAAGAAGCGGAGUAUACGCGGGCGGAACUGGAACCCGACGGGAGGGCAGGGGAGGGCGUGCAGGACUCAGUACAGCCUGGAGCAGCAGACAAGCUCCCUCAUCCCACCCUCGGCUCCCCGGGGCACAGGAAGAGCACACUUGGUUGGUUGUCAGCCGCUGAGAUCUCACCAUCUGUGCCACACACGGCAGCAACAAUGGCUGCUGUGAAGUGGGUCAAGAAGUCUGGCGCUCAACUGGACGCUGGUGGCACGAGAGACUAGAGGAUGUCACCAACCCCGCCUGACCACAUUUCCCCUGACUACAGCUAUAUGUAAGAGGUAGAGAGAGAGAUCGAAAGAUAACCAGUGUCAACAUCUGGCCACGUCUGAGCGGGAACCCCGGCACACACAUUUCUCCAGGCAAGUGCACGUGGAGGGAAAAACAAAAAUCCCGGCACCCGAAAAUAUUCUAAUCAGUGUCCCGACUCAGUCCUGGGUCCGAGGAAAUCAAACCAAAGCAGCAUCUUGUUCAUAGACUAAUGAUUGGGGCACGCUUCCUACCGCAGGCACCGACGCAGCUCACCGGAGAGUGGGCUGAGGAAAGUCAACUGUCAAGCGUUCCUUAGUUUUACUAUCUGUGGGGAAAUACGUGCGACUGAAACAUGACAGACAUGGACUCUACCUCUUGGCUCUAGGACACCGAGUACUGCCUGUACCCAAAGGCCGAUGUACUACUACCCAGCUGGCUACGUGCCCUACUACCCAUGGCCUCCCAGGGCCCAGCUUCCUGCUGCUGCCUUUCUCCUGGCUGCACUUGCCUCACUCCCAGUAGGGCAGGGAGGAGCUCUGGAUCUGUCCCACCCCAGGCCUUUCACCCAUGCACCACAGAACGGAAAGAAAAAAAUCAUCUUUAUUGAGGUGCAAUUCACGGGCAAGAAACACACGGUCACGUGAUUGAGGCUGCUGCACCCGAGGACAUUCUGCCUGUCGUGAGUGUUCCCAUUUCCCAUUUAACCCAAGAGUCCAGUCCUCCCCAGUGUCCUCUGCUAGUCAGAGGCUUGCUGCCGGAACAGAGUCUUGCCACUGGACAGGGCACACAGGAAGGACCCGGGCAUCCUACCAACAGCACCAGGAUUCUGAAGAGUCGCCCAGAGCUCCAGUCACCACAGAGGUCAUGGGAUUGUCCUGCUGCACAUCUGGGUUGCUGCUAGACGUGAGCAGUUCCGAAUAAAAAUGCAAGAGGGUUGUAGGGACAUGUUUUGCUUCUCCCCAGAAGGGACUGUGUGGGGGAGACAGGGAGUUAGCACAGUUGACUUUGCAAAGCAGAUGUACCACUUGCCACCCCGUGUCGUCGCCGGCACUUAGCGCUGUCUGGUUUUAAGCAUUAGCCUCUCUUGAAGGCAUGCCGUGGUCCCCCCACUGAUUGGUGAGGGACGAUCGUGAUAUUAGUCACACUUUCGCAUGCUCAGGGCUCAUCUGUUCAGAUCGUGCACAUUUUACUUUUAUUACACUUGCCCGGCGUGUGCACGUGCUUGCCACCACACGCAUGUGUAGGUCAGCAGACAAUGUACAGGAGUCGGUGCCUCUACUUGGGUCCCAGGAAUCUAGUGCAACUUGACAAGCGUGCUAACGGUUGUCUUUUUUCCCAAUGCUGGCCCAGAUCUUUCGAUCUUAAUUUAAAAACUUAGUCUUUAAGCUACGAGGGUUUUUAGGUAUUCUGAAUACAUACCCUAUAUGGAUAUUUUCUCCGAGGUGUGUCUUGCUUUGUUGAUCAUUUAAUGGUAUCUUUUGAUGCUCAGACUGAUAAUUGUAUCUUUUGGAGACUUUGCUCCCUGGAUCCUUAAUGCCUGCCUAAAGGAAGGACUCUUACCCUUGGCAUCCUAUCUGGGCAGAUGUGGUCUCCUUUCUAACCCCAGAACUUAGGACAACGGCUUGGAUGUUGAAUGUCCCCUGAAGGCCCACAUGUUGAAGGCUUUAUUCCCGGUGUGAUAUUACAGAAAGAUGAUGGUACUUUUCUUUCCUCUGUGUAGCCCUGACUAUCCUGUAACUCACUUGGUAGACCAGGCUGGCCUCGAACACACAGACAUCCACCUGCCUCUGCCUCUGUAAGUGCUGGUAUGUUCCACCAUACAUACCUAGCUGUUGAUGGUACGUAUAAAGGAAAGGACCUAGUGGGAAGUCUUUAGGUUACCAAGUGCACAACCUUGACCUUGAAGGGGAUCCAGCAAUUUCCUGUUUCCUUUGGUUACUGGCUGUGACGUGAGCGGCUGUGUUGUUUUCCCAGCUCCUGCCAUGGCCCUCUGCCUCACUACAGAACCAAAGCAAUAAGGCCAAGUCACUAUAUCACUCAAGAUAAACCUCUCCUUUUGAUCCGCUGAUUGUCGCAGGACUUCUAUUCAGUGGUAAGGAGGCACUUAGGACUCCUUAUGACGAGCUCCCUCAUUCCCGGUAUCCAUUUCAGUUCCCACAGGGACCUCUGUCGUUCUUGAACUCCAGGCCGUCUUUCCUCAGCGAGACACUUGUGCAGGGUCAGUCCUUUAUAGAUAAUCUUCAUGUCCUGUGGUCUCUAUAUGCCACAUGCCCCCUUUUUUUUCUCUUUAAGACAGAGUUUCAUGUAACCCUAGGCUGACCUGGAAUUCACCGCGUAGCUAAGGUUGACUAUAAACUUUAUUGUUCGUUUGAGACAGGGUCUUUUUACACAUUCCUGGCUGUCCUGGAACUCAUUACAUAGACCAGAGUGGCCUCAGACUCACAGAAAGUCGCCUGCCUCUGCUUCCCGAGUGCUGGGAUUAAAGGUAUGAACCACACCACGCAUGGCAUUUAGCCUUUUCUUUUAAACCAUGAGUUUUUGGUCCUUGGUCCUCUUGCCUCUACUUCUUGAGUCUACUGGGAUCGGCAAUGGAUUAGGGUUUGUUUUUUUUUUUUUUUUUUCCACCGUGAACUGAAGUUUUCAGCAAAGCAAAAAACCACACAUGCUGGUGUCGAGGACUACACAAGAGCGGCCCACUGAUUACAGCCUCAACGUUGUGGCAUGCUGGAAUGUUGCAGAUCCAGGGUCGAUUUCUCUCCGGCUAUGUUUAGUUCCCUGAAGAGCAGUCAUUGCUGGCUGCUGAGUCUGACCCAACAACACUUUGGAUUAAAUAAAACCUUUACAAUGUA